rnacentral:RNase_P_RNA from 1 species
UGAGUCGGCCGGACGGUCGCGUCGCCGGGCAACCGGUGCCGAGGAACGUCCGGGCUCCACAGAGCGCGGUGGUGGGUAACGCCCACCCGGGGUGACCCGCGGGACAGUGCCACAGAAAACAGACCGCCCAUCGGUUUCGGCCGGUGGGUCAGGGUGAAACGGUGGUGUAAGAGACCACCAGCGGGCCGGGUGACCGGUCCGGCUAGGUAAACCCCACCGGGAGCAAGGUCGCACAGGAUGCGUACGAGGGCUGCUCGCCCGAGCAUCCGGGUAGACCGCUGGAGACGUGCGGCGACGUACGUCCUAGAUGGAUGGCCGUCUCCCGCUCGCGGGCAACUGCGGGCGGUGACAGAACCCGGCGUACAGGCCGACUCAUCCG